GCCCUGGUGGCACAGUGGUUAAGCGUUUGGCUGCUAACCAAAAGGUUGCUGGUUCAGAUCCACCAGGCGCU
rnacentral:tRNA from 1 species